UCGGUCUUCUCAAUGCCCCCCAAGAAACAGGCUCAGGCCGGGGGCAGCAAAAUGGCGGAACAGAAAAAGAAGGAGAAGAUUAUCGAAGACAAAACUUUUGGCUUAAAGAUUAAGAAAGGAGCAAAACAACAGAAGUUUAUCAAGGCUGUCACUCACCAAGUUAAAUUUGGUCAACAAAAUCCACAUCAGGUAGCACAGAGUGAAGCUGAAAAGAAAUUGAAGAAAGAUGAUAAGAAGAAAGAAUUACAAGAACUAAAUGAGCUGUUCAAACCUGUUGUUGCUGCUCAAAAAUUAAGUAAAGGUGUGGAUCCCAAGUCUGUGGUGUGUGCCUUCUUCAAGCAAGGGCUGUGUACUAAAGGAGAUAAAUGUAAGUUCUCUCAUGACUUGACUUUGGAGAGAAAAUGUGAAAAACGAAGUAUUUACAUUGAUGCAAGGGAUGAAGAACUUGAAAAAGACACAAUGGAAAAUUGGGAUGAGAAAAAGCUGGAAGAAAUAGUGAACAAGAAGCACGGUGAGGUGGAAAAGAGAAAACCAAAAACUCAAAUAGUGUGCAAGCAUUUCCUUGAAGCUAUUGAAAAUAACAAGUAUGGCUGGUUUUUGGUAUGUCCUGGAGGAGGUGAUAACUGCAUGUAUCGUCAUGCACUUCCUCCUGGAUUUGUAUUGGAAAAGAACAAAAAAAAAAAAAGAGGAGAAAGAAGAUGAAAUUUCAUUGGAAGACUUGAUUGAAAGAGAGCGCUCUGCCCUAGGUCCAAAUGUUACCAAAAUCACUCUAGAAUCUUUUCUUGCAUGGAAGAAAAGGAAAAGACAAGAAAAGACUGAUAAACUUGAACAAGAUAUGGAAAGAAGAAAAGCAGACUUCACAUCAGGGAAGGCACUGGUCAUCAGUGGUCGUGAAGUGUUUGAAUUUUGUCCUGAACUUGUCGAUGAUGAUGAUGAAGAAGCAGAUGACACCGUUACAUUCAGGGAACAAGAGGUGAUGAGAUUGAUGAUUUCAUGAGAGUAAAUGACAUAGAUUUAAGUCUGUACGUCCCUACAGCUGUAGAUGAGACAGGUAUUACUGUACCCAGUCUUGAAAUAUUCAACACAUUUGCUUUGGAUAAAGAUGAAAACAAAUUAAGUGAAGCAUCUGGAGGUAGGGCAGAAAAUGGCGAAAGAAGUGAUUUGGAAGAGGACAAUGAAGGGGAAGGACAGGAAAAUGGAGCCAUCGAUGCUGCACCUGUUGAUGAAAAUCUUUUUACUGGGGAAGAUUUGGAUGAAUUAGAAGAAGAAUUAAACACACUUGAUUUAGAAUGA